CUUGGUCAUUUAGAGGAAGUAAAAGUCGUAACAAGGUUUCCGUAGGUGAACCUGCGGAAGGAUCAUUAGUGAAUUAUAGGGCGUCUACUUUUGUAGGGCCUGACCUCCACUUUCUAACACUGUGCACUCAUUUGGCGGAAUAGAGAACGAAGCGCAAGCUGACGUCUCCGUUCUGCGGCUUACUUUUAAACACCAGUCAAAGUAUGUAACGAAAUAUCGAAACAAAAAAAAACUUUCAACAACGGAUCUCUUGGCUCUCGCAUCGAUGAAGAACGCAGCGAAAUGUGAUAAGUAAUGUGAAUUGCAGAAUUCAGUGAAUCAUCGAAUCUUUGAACGCACCUUGCGCUCCCUAGUAUUCUGGGGAGCAUGUCUGUUUGAGUGUCAUGAACUCUUCAACCCUCCCGUUUCUUGUAUUCGGGCUGGAGUUUGGAUUUUGAACGCUUGCUGGUCUUUUGACGUAGCUCGUUCGUAAUACAUUAGCAACUCUAAUUCGACUUCGGAUUGACUCAGUGUAAUAGACUAUUCGCUGAGGACACUUUUACUAGUGGCCGAACGAGAUAACUGUAGAUGCUUCGAACCUCUAUAGUCAACUUUAGAUUAGACCUCAGAUCAGGCAGGAUUACCCGCUGAACUUAAGCAUAUCAAAAGCGGAGGAA
rnacentral:rRNA from 1 species